UACGUAGGUGGCAAGCGUUGUCCGGAAUUAUUGGGCGUAAAGAGCUCGUAGGCGGUUUGUCGCGUCUGCCGUGAAAGUCCGGGGCUCAACCCCGGAUCUGCGGUGGGUACGGGCAGACUAGAGUGAUGUAGGGGAGACUGGAAUUCCUGGUGUAGCGGUGAAAUGCGCAGAUAUCAGGAGGAACACCGAUGGCGAAGGCAGGUCUCUGGGCAUUAACUGACGCUGAGGAGCGAAAGCAUGGGGAGCGAACAGG
rnacentral:rRNA from 1 species